UCUGUAUCAAGGCAAUGGUAUAAAUGGAUGACAGACGUUCGAAUGUACAAAGUUAUACAGUAGAUUUUGGAGCAUAUAAGGAUAUUGAGGCACUUGAAGAAUAAAGACGCAAGCGGCUUUGAAGAUACAGACUUAAGAAAAUAUGAUUUUUGUUUAUCAUGAACAGAGCAUUUGAAUGUGCACACAGACCUUGACUCCGAAGAAAGAAAUACUCAAAUUGUCCGACGAGAGACCCGAACUCUCCGACGAUAGCCGGAACUGUCCGUCGAGGAACACGAACCGUCCGACAAGAAGCGGAUUCCUGGAUCACACACGAAGAAAAUGUUAGUUGAUGGAACUCGAGAGAAUGCAGGACUGUCUUGCUGGUACCCUGACGAUGCUGACCACCAGAGAUGUGGUGUUACCCAAACGGUGGCAGUUGCCAGAAGCUAGGGUUGUUGUACACAACUGAUGCCUGCCGCCAGAUGUGCGCUGGUACCCGGUCGAUGCCGGUCAUCAGAGGUGUGCUGGGACUCAGUCAUACCGGCACUUAUGUUGACAUGACGAUCAAUUUUUUUCAAAGAUAGUCAUCCAGUUUGCAUGCAAAAGUCCUUCUUUCUAGCAGACGACACCAGUCACUUCUAGCAGAAGAAACCAGCUGCUUCUAGCAGACGACACCAUUUGCUUCCAGCAAACGACAACAUUUGCUUCUGGCAGACGACACCAUUUGCUUCUAGCAGACGACAACGGUUGCUUCUGGCAGACGACGCAAAAGUGCUUAUAGCAUUCAACAUCAGUUGAUUCUACCAGACGACUCAAGGGGAGGAGCGUUACGGCGAUGGACAAGAUAUAAUGGUUUUAGAGGAAUUCAAGCCUUGACUGAUCUAGCGUCUAUAUUUGUCCUGUCGUGUUGUUUGUGGUAGACAGCUCUUUCAUCCUUGAAGUUCAGGCUGACAGACAAAGUCCUCGUUGAGGUUAUGAAAAAAAGGCAAGAAGAACAUUGUUUGACUUUAUCAUCGUGUAGUUUUGUGUUUGUUGUUUCCAACAGCUGACAGACUGAUGUAGCCAAGGAUGAUUUCAAACAUACAAGUGAGAACUAUCUGCAGAAUGAAGAAGGAAGAAUUAAGUAUUGUAAAUCCACGACAGCCCGGAACCAACACAGACAUGGCCCUACAACAGCACUGGCAUAAGCACACAAACAUGGCAACGCUGGCACAAGCAUGAUGGAUAGCUCACACAUAUAUAAUUGAGAAUGUUUAAUAACAUAAAUGUAUUUUGUUAAAAAUGGCAUAAAUAACUGGAGUAAAAAUGAGGAUUUUUUUCAGAACACCGAUACAUACUUUUGUUUAGACACAGCAAGUAUUUCUAGAUCGGUUAUUUUUGCAGGAUAAGUAAUAGGUGAAUCUCAUUACUCGGUUUAAAUAAAUCCAAAUCUGCCAUACAAGUAAUGCCCCUUUCCUGUAGCUUAACACAAGACAAAGAGGACAUGUCUUAUAAGAUCGUUCUGUAUGCAGAUAAAAUCGCUUGAAAAUAAUUCGAUAUAUAUAUAAAUUAAAUUUCAUGCAUUCUAAUACCUUUUUCCCAAAAUGUUACAUACUUUUCCAACGCAGCGUCGCCACGCAACUUCGCAUGUUAUGAGCAACGUCACGCUUAAUUGUCAUUGCCUCAAAAUGAAUAUGUUGAAAAAAGUUUUUAUAAUUUUUUCUAAUGCUAAGGGUCUCCUUUUAUUAAAGUGACGUAUUUAUUGAAGCAUAUUUUCGGUUUAUGUAGUUCAUAUUUUUAGAGUUAAAUUGUAGUUUCAUGCCAAUGAACGCCAUAUUUUGAUUUCUCGUUGUUGAAACAGUAAGAUACAAUCAGGAUACAAUGUAUUGGUAUGUUUUGAUAAUCCUCUGCAAGUAUUAAAUAUAAUUUCAUGCUAUCUAACUAAAACUGUACAGAUAAAAUCAAAUUUCAUUUGCUUAAACUUGUAUUCUACUGUCCUUGGUCGGAGUUGUCUAAAUCUAGCUUUUUAAAGUCAUUUUAGUUCCAUUUCUUGUACACAGCAUUUUACACUGACUGGCAUAACUCAUAACUGAAACCUAACUCGAGCACUAACAUUAACGCUUGAGACUGAAAUGACUUUUUAAAGCAAGUUUGUCUUUUAUAACUUGCAAUGUUUGAAAUUUAAGACUGGUAUAUGAUGAGGGGUAAAAAGAUGCGUUGAUUAAAUGUUAAGAAAAAUAUGUGCUUGUAGCCCUAAGAUUUAAAUGGAUUGCUAGAAUAUAAUUGUAAAUUAUGACCUGAUAAGGUCAUUGCUUCAAACACAAAGAAAUCGAGAAAUCCAAAUAGGAUGUCCAUUGGUAAGGAACUGCACCUUAACACGAAAGGAUAUAAAUUAGAAAGAAGUAGAUAAUUUUAUUGAAAGACAGAGCUGUAUAAAUGCUUGCAAAAACAAUAAAAUACACACUAAAGAGAAACAUAUGUAUCUCGUAAACUUAUAAACAUAGGCAUUGUGACGUCAUUAAGUUGCGUGGUUGAAUGAGAUAAAUUUAUACAAACUCGACAAGAGAUCAAACAUUAGCUGUGAAUGACCUUUUUAUACGCCCGUCUCUGAAAGAGCGGGGCGUAUUAUGUGAACACCCAUGGCUGGCGGGCGGGCUUUGUCCAAAGUAAUGUCCGCUCUCUAAGUCAAUUAGUUUUCAUUUGAUCUUCAACAAACUUCGUGACAAUGUUUAUGGGCAUAAUAUAUCG
rnacentral:lncRNA from 1 species